rnacentral:lncRNA from 1 species
GGGGUCUGAAGUUCUCACAAUGGGGCCAUAGGCCUCAGUUCAUCAAGAGAAUGAGCCUUUGAGGAUUUGCUAGGAAACUCUUGACUGAAGGGAGGCCGGUGGAUGAAUCACUUUGUUUCUUAUGGAAAAGAUGAAAACUUUCUUUGUGGUUAUCUUGGCUACUGACUAUUUCUUACGAUGGCACAAGUAGACGGGAGGCCGGGAGGAGGCUCAGUUGCAGCAGCUGAAAGAAGUCAAGGCUGUGAAGUAGAACAUAAAAUAUGAAGAUAUUUCUGGUAACAAUCCAUAUGCGGACAUUACAUGCGGUUAUUAUCGAAGGAAGUCUGCACAGGAGAACCGAAUAUGCUCCCUAACAGUCUACCCAUUAUGUGCCUCUAAUAAUGUUACAUACUCUAAUGCCUGCAUGUUCUGCUUCGCUAACAUAGCUAUGCACCUCUCUCUUAAAAUUCGAUACGAUGGAAAAUGCGGAAAGGCCAAAAGUCCUGAACAGAAUUUGAUUUUCCUUCCUUCAUCAUAAGUGAACUCAUUUGAAUUAAGCAUCAUCCUUCCUUCAAAAAGCAAAAUUCAUUAUAUUACCUUAUUUUUUAAAGAUCAAUAAAUUUUAUUCUACAGAAAACUCUUCUUUAACUCAAGACAUAUUUAAUGACAUGCGCCAGAGUUGUGUUUGGUUCUAGAAAUGCAGAGUGAGUAGGAAGUGACCCCUGACUUUGUGCAACUCACUGUCUGAUAGGCUAAUUGGACAACUCUUUCAUUUAUUCAGUAAAUAUUCUUUAAGGACUUACAAGACUGAGAGACUUGGAUAGACUCUGUGUCCUCAGUAGUAAUCAAAACAGGUCUGUGCCGGGCUGGCCCCGUGGCGGAGCGGUUAAGUUCGCGCCCUCCGCUGCAGGCGGCCCAGUGUUUCGUUGGUUCGAAUCCUGGGCGCGGACAUGAC